rnacentral:rRNA from 1 species
UGGGGAAUUUUGGACAAUGGGGGAAACCCUGAUCCAGCCAUCCCGCGUGUGCGAUGAAGGCCUUCGGGUUGUAAAGCACUUUUGGCAGGAAAGAAACGUCAUGGGUUAAUACCCCGUGAAACUGACGGUACCUGCAGAAUAAGCACCGGCUAACUACGGGCCAGCAGCCGCGGUAAUACGUAGGGUGCAAGCGUUAAUCGGAAUUACUGGGCGUAAAGCGUGCGCAGGCGGUUCGGAAAGAAAGAUGUGAAAUCCCAGAGCUCAACUUUGGAACUGCAUUUUUAACUACCGGGCUAGAGUGUGUCAGAGGGAGGUGGAAUUCCGCGUGUAGCAGUGAAAUGCGUAGAUAUGCGGAGGAACACCGAUGGCGAAGGCAGCCUCCUGGGAUAACACUGACGCUCAUGCACGAAAGCGUGGGGAGCAAACAGG